rnacentral:rRNA from 1 species
GCCUAUCAGGUAGUAGUGGGUGUAGCGUACCUACUAGCCUACGACGGGUACGGGUUGUGGGAGCAAGAGCCCGGAGAUGGAUUCUGAGACACGAAUCCAGGCCCUACGGGGUGCAGCAGGCGCGAAAACUUUACAAUGCUGGCAACAGCGAUAAGGGAACCUCGAGUGCCAGGUUACAAAUCUGGCUGUCGAGAUGCCUAAAAAGCAUUUCAUAGCAAGGGCCGGGCAAGACCGGUGCCAGCCGCCGCGGUAACACCGGCGGCUCGAGUGGUAACCGUUAUUAUUGGGUCUAAAGGGUCUGUAGCCGGCCGGAUAAGUCUCUUGAGAAAUCUGGCAGCUUAACUGUCAGGCUUUCAGGAGAUACUGUCUGGCUCGAGGCCGGGAGAGGUGAGAGGUACUUCAGGGGUAGGGGUGAAAUCUUGUAAUCCUUGAAGGACCACCAGUGGCGAAGGCGUCUCACCAGAACGGACCUGACGGCAAGGGACGAAAGCUAGGGGCACGAACCGGAUUAGAUACCCGGGUAGUCCUAGCCGUAAACGAUACUCGCUAGGUGUCGGCCACGGUGCGACCGUUGUCGGUGCCGUAGGGAAGCCGUGAAGCGAG